rnacentral:rRNA from 1 species
UUUCCCUCAGAAAAGCUGACUGCAGGAGAACGACACGCAAUUCCGUCUGGUAAAGCGAACGACUGAAGGCCCUGGGGACGCUUUUGGCUUCGAUCUACUCUCGAACUCGGAACGGGCGAAACGGGCCGCCCUUCUCCCGAUCAGAGGCGGCCGUAUGUAUCGCAGCCA